UACGAAGGUCCCAAGCGUUAUCCGGAUUUACUGGGCAUAAAGGGUGCGCAGGCGGCCCGAUAAGUCAGCCGUGAAAUCGCUGGGCUCAACCCAUGCAAUUGCGGUUGAUACUGUCGGGCUUGAAUGGGGUUGAGGCUGGCGGAAUGCGGCAUGUAGCGGUGAAAUGCUUAGAUAUGCCGCAGAACACCGAUUGCGAAGGCAGCCAGCUGGGCCAUUAUUGACGCUGAGGCACGAAAGCGUGGGGAGCAAACAGG
rnacentral:rRNA from 1 species